UUUGUCAGCUAAUACCGACUAUGAAUGGCUCAGUGAGGCCUCCGGAUAGGUUUAGGAAAGGGGGCAACCUCAUUACUGGAACCGAGAAGCUGGUCCAACUUGGUCAUUUAGAGGAAGUAAAAGUCGUAACAAGGUUUCCGUAGGUGAACCUGCGGAAGGAUCAUUACUGAUUUGCUUAAUUGCACCACAUGUGUUUUUCUUUGAAACAAACUUGCUUUGGCGGUGGGCCCAGCCUGCCGCCAGAGGUCUAAACUUACAACCAAUUUUUUAUCAACUUGUCACACCAGAUUAUUACUAAUAGUCAAAACUUUCAACAACGGAUCUCUUGGUUCUCGCAUCGAUGAAGAACGCAGACGAAAUGACGAUACGUAAUAUGAAUUGCAGAUAUUCGUGAAUCAUCGAAUCUAUGAACGCACAUUGCGCCCUCUGGUAUUCCGGAGGGCAUGCCUGUUUGAGCGUCGUUUCUCCCUCACAACCGCUGGGUUUGGUGUUGAGCAAUACGACUUGGGUUUGCUUGAAAGACGGUAGUGGUAAGGCGGGAUCGCUUUGACAAUGGCUUAGGUCAUAACCAAACAACAUUGCUUGCGGCGGAUAACGUCCACCACGUAUAUCUUCAAACUUACGACCUCAAAUCAGGUCC
rnacentral:misc_RNA from 1 species